ACAGAGCCAUGGAAAGGUGGGACUCAUCAGCGUAGCCCUGCACAGCUCCCUUCAGCCUCAGGUGUGCCGUAGGGACCCAGUCUCACACAGGGUGGGAGGUGUUUGCACCUGCUCUGGAACAUGGGAGGUGGUCACCUGGAUCUCAGUCACCCUCAGUUUGCCAGGCAAAGACAAUCAGCCAGGGAGAGACACUAGCCCUUUCUCUGCCAUCUAUUCCUACAUCGCUUGAGA